GCCAGGGUCGCAUAAUCCGGUAGUGCGGCUGGCUCGAAACCAGCUGGCCUUUGGCUGUGUGGGUUCAAAUCCCACCCCUGGCG
rnacentral:tRNA from 1 species